UAGGGAAUUUUGCGCAAUGGGGGAAACCCUGACGCAGCAACGCCAUGUGUGGGAUGAAGCAUUUCGGUGUGUAAACCACUGUCAGCGGGGACUAAAAGCGGCCUUUGGCCGCCGUGAAUGUACCCGCAAAGGAAGCCCCGGCUAACUUCGUGCCAGCAGCCGCGGUAAUACGAGGGGGGCGAGUGUUGUUCGGAAUCACUGGGCGUAAAGGGAGCGUAGGCGGGAGCCUAAGUUGGGUGUUUAAUUCCGGGGCCCAACCCCGGGCGUGCACUCAAAACUGGGUUUCUUGAAUAGGGGAGAGGUCGAUGGAAUUGGAGGUGUAGCGGUGGAAUGCGUAGAGAUCUCCAAGAACACCGGUUGCGAAGGCGGUCGACUGGACCCAUAUUGACGCUGAGGCUCGAAAGCGUGGGGAGCAAACAGG
rnacentral:rRNA from 1 species